rnacentral:misc_RNA from 1 species
GAUGAAGAACGCAGCGAAAUGCGAUACUUGGUGUGAAUUGCAGAAUCCCGUGAACCAUCGAGUCUUUGAACGCAAAUUGCGCCCGAAGCCAUUAGGCCGAGGGCACGCCUGCCUGGGCGUCACACGUCGUUGCCCCCCCAUCUACUCCUUCGGGAUUGCGGGGGGCGGAUGAUGGCCUCUCGUGCGCCUCGUCGCGCGGUUGGCCUAAAUGCCAAGUCCUCGGCGACGCACGCCACGACAAUCGGUGGUUGCGAAACCUCGGUUGCCUGUCGUGUGCGGUCGUCGCGCAUCGAGGGCUCGAAAAAAUUGCCGGGCUUCGGCUCGACUUUCAACGCGACCCCAGGUCAGGCGGGGUUACCCGCUGAAUUUAAGCAUAUCAAUAAGCGGAGGA